rnacentral:rRNA from 1 species
UACGAAGGGGGCUAGCGUUGCUCGGAAUCACUGGGCGUAAAGGGUGCGUAGGCGGGUUUUUAAGUCAGAGGUGAAAUCCUGGAGCUCAACUCCAGAACUGCCUUUGAUACUGAGAAUCUUGAGUACGGGAGAGGUGAGUGGAACUGCGAGUGUAGAGGUGAAAUUCGUAGAUAUUCGCAAGAACACCAGUGGCGAAGGCGGCUCACUGGCCCGUUACCGACGCUGAGGCACGAAAGCGUGGGGAGCAAACAGG